rnacentral:tRNA from 1 species
GGGGCCAUAGCUCAGCUGGGAGAGCGCCUGCCUUGCAAGCAGGAGGUGUCGGGGUGUUCGCAUCCCGCUUGGCUCCACCA